ACAACAAAAAUAAUAGGAAGCAACAAUUACUU
rnacentral:piRNA from 1 species